rnacentral:rRNA from 1 species
AUUGAACGCUGGCGGCAGGCCUAACACAUGCAAGUCGAGCGAGCGGCGGACGGGUGAGUAAUGUCUGGGAAACUGCCUGAUGGAGGGGGAUAACUACUGGAAACGGUAGCUAAUACCGCAUACCAUCAGAUGUGCCCAGGUGGGAUUAGCUAGUAGGUGGGGUAACGGCUCACCUAGGCGACGAUCCCUAGCUGGUCUGAGAGGAUGACCAGCCACACUGGAACUGAGACACGGUCCAGAAUCAUACGGGAGGCAGCGGUGGGGAAUAUUGCACGAUGGGCGAAAGCCUGCUGCAGCCAGGCCGCGUGUGGGAAGAAGGCCUUCGGGUUUUAAAGCACUUUCAGCGGGGAGGCGUUACCCGCAGAAGAAGCACCGGCUAACUCCGUGUCAGCAGCCGCGGUAAUUC